rfam:Schistosoma curassoni strain Dakar, Senegal genome assembly, scaffold: SCTD_scaffold0008452
AACCUUCUAAAUCCAUUCAGAAAUUUCGUCAGGCACCAGACCAUCAGUACUGAUGAGAAUUCCGAGAUAAGUGAAGUG